UGGGGGAUAUUGCACAAUGGGCGAAAGCCUGAUGCAGCGACGCCGCGUGGGGGAUGAAGGCUUUCGGGUUGUAAACCUCUUUCGCUAUCGAACAAGGCCCGCUUAGGGUGGGUUGAGGGUAGGUGGAGAAGAAGCGCCGGCUAACUACGUGCCAGCAGCCGCGGUAAUACGUAGGGCGCGAGCGUUGUCCGGAGUUAUUGGGCGUAAAGGGCUUGUAGGCGGCUUGUUGCGCCUGCUGUGAAAACGCGGGGCUUAACUUCGCGCGUGCAGUGGGUACGGGCAGGCUUGAGUGUGGUAGGGGUGACUGGAAUUCCAGGUGUAGCGGUGGAAUGCGCAGAUAUCUGGAGGAACACCGAUGGCGAAGGCGGGUCACUGGGCCAUUACUGACGCUGAGGAGCGAAAGCAUGGGUAGCGAACAGG
rnacentral:rRNA from 1 species